rnacentral:snRNA from 1 species
CUGCUCACUUUGGCAACAUCUAUACUAACAUUGGAAUGACAGAGAUUAGUAUGACCCCUCUACAAGGAUGACACGCACAUUCAUGAUGGAAUUAAUGAGUCC